rnacentral:rRNA from 1 species
GAGAGUUUGAUAUGGCUCAGGAUAAACGCUGGCGGUGUACAUAAGACAUGCAAGUCGAACGGGAGAAGACAGGAAGAUUUAUCUACUUGUUGGACACCGUGGCGGACGGGUGAGUAACACGUAAGCAACCUGCCUAUAAGAGGGGAAUAACAGUGAGAAAUUACUGAUAAUACCGCAUAAGCUGAAGGUAUCGCAUGAUACAUUCAGAAAAGAUUUAUCGCUUAUAGAUGGGCUUGCGUCUGAUUAGCUAGUUGGUGAGAUAACAGCUCACCAAGGCGACGAUCAGUAGCCGGAUUGAGAGGUUGAACGGCCACAUUGGGACUGAGACACGGCCCAGACCCCUACGGGAGGCAGCAGUCGGGAAUAUUGCACAAUGGAGGAAACUCUGAUGCAGUGACACCGCGUAUAGGAAGAAGGUCUUAGGAUUGUAAGCUAUUGUCGUGUGAGAAGAAAAUGACCAUCACAGGAGGAAGCCCUGGCUAAAUAUGUGCCAGCAGCCGCGGUAGUACAUAUGGGGCGAGCGUUAUCCGGAUUUAUUGGGUGUAAAGGGUGCGUAGGCGGGAAAAUAAGUCAGUAUGUGAAAUCCCUCGGCUCAACUGAGGAACUGCAACUGAAACUAUUUUUCUUGAGUGUUGAAGGGGAAAGUGGAAUUCCUAGUGUAGCGGUGAAAUGCGUAGAGAUUAGG